GACGAACGCUGGCGGCGUGCUUAACACAUGCAAGUCGAACGAUGAAGAAAAGAAUCGAAGCUUCGGCAGAAAUUCAUUUCGGAUUAGUGGCAGACGGGUGAGUAACGCGUGAGCAACCUACCUCUUACAAAGGGAUAGCCUCGGGAAACCGGGAUUAAUACCAUAUAACAUUGCGACGAAGCAUUUCGAUGCAAUCAAAGCUACGGCGGUAAGAGAUGGGCUCGCGUCCCAUUAACCGGAUGGUGAGGUAACGGCUCACCAUAGUGACGAUGGGUAACCGGCCUGAGAGGGUGAACGGUCACACUGGAACUGAGACACGGUCCAGACUCCUACGGGAGGCAGCAGUGGGGAAUAUUGCACAAUGGAGGGAACUCUGAUGCAGCGACGCCGCGUGAGUGAUGAAGGAAUUCGUUUCGUAAAACUCUGUUCUAUGGGAAGAAAAGGACUGUACCAUAGGAGAAAGCUCCGGCUAAAUACGUA
rnacentral:rRNA from 1 species